AUGUUUUAUGAGAUUCUAGAACACAUUGGGAGGGAUAUUAGACCAUUCCUUCAUACAGAAUCCUACCAGAUGUUUUAUGAGAUUCUAGAACACAUUGGGAGGGAUAUUAGACCAUUCCUUCAUACAGAAUCCUACCAGAUGUUUUAUGAGAUUCUAGAACACAUUGGGAGGGAUCUUAGACCAUUCCUUCAUACAGAAUCCUACCAGAUGUUUUAUGAGAUUCUAGAACACAUUGGGAGGGAUAUUAGACCAUUCCUUCAUACAGAAUCCUACCAGAUGUUUUAUGAGAUUCUAGAACACAUUGGGAGGGAUAUUAGACCAUUCCUUCAUACAGAAUCCUACCAGAUGUUUUAUGAGAUUCUAGAACACAUUGGGAGGGAUCUUAGACCAUUCCUUCAUACAGAAUCCUACCAGAUGUUUUAUGAGAUUCUAGAACACAUUGGGAGGGAUAUUAGACCAUUCCUUCAUACAGAAUCCUACCAGAUGUUUUAUGAGAUUCUAGAACACAUUGGGAGGGAUCUUAGACCAUUCCUUCAUACAGAAUCCUACCAGAUGUUUUAUGAGAUUCUAGAACACAUUGGGAGGGAUAUUAGACCAUUCCUUCAUACAGAAUCCUACCAGAUGUUUUAUGAGAUUCUAGAACACAUUGGGAGGGAUCUUAGACCAUUCCUUCAUACAGAAUCCUACCAGAUGUUUUAUGAGAUUCUAGAACACAUUGGGAGGGAUCUUAGACCAUUCCUUCAUACAGAAUCCUACCAGAUGUUUUACGAGAUUCUAGAACACAUUGGGAGGGAUCUUAGACCAUUCCUUCAUACAGAAUCCUACCAGAUGUUUUACGAGAUUCUAGAACACAUUGGGAGGGAUCUUAGACCAUUCCUUCAUACAGAAUCCUACCAGAUGUUUUAUGAGAUUCUAGAACACAUUGGGAGGGAUCUUAGACCAUUCCUUUAUACAGAAUCCAACCAGAUAUUUUAUGAGAUUCUAGAACACAUUGGGAGGGAUAUUAGACCAUUCCUUCAUACAGAAUCCGACCAGAUGUUUUAUGAGAUUCUAGAACACAUUGGGAGGGAUCUUAGACCAUUCCUUCAUACAGAAUCCUACCAGAUGUUUUACGAGAUUCUAGAACACAUUUGGAGGGAUCUUAGACCAUUCUUCAAUACAGAAUCUUUUCAGAUCCUUGAUAUAGUCUGUGUUUAUGGAUGUCCCCUUAAAAUUCAAACCAAAGAUUUUCAAUGA
rnacentral:lncRNA from 1 species